CUUUAAGGAUGAAUCUUAUCCCGAACCUGAUUUUAUGUGAAUGAAAUCCUCACGGAUCUGACUUCUGAAAU